GCUCUCGUAGCCAAGCGGCAAAGGCAAUCGCCUGCAGAGCGAUCAUUCGUGGGUUCGAGUCCCACCGAGAGCU
rnacentral:tRNA from 2 species